UCGUACAAAAUGUGAAGGGCAUGCCAGGGCUGUCGCUGACUUCAAAGUCGUGCACGCCCGGGUGUGUCCCCUCACAUAAUAAUCCAUCUCACCCUUUGUGCAUCACCGCGUGGGCACCCUUUGGGAUCAUCUCGGAGGGGGCUCGCGUUUUCACACAAACCCCCCCUUUUAAAAGUGUAGAAUGACCUCAUAUAUGCAAUCAAUAC
rnacentral:misc_RNA from 1 species